UCUUCUUGAAUUUGUAUGGAGUUGGAACGUUUGCCUACGUUUGUCGCUAGGGGCGCUGUUCUAACUUCAUACAAAUUUGAAUA
rnacentral:pre_miRNA from 1 species